rnacentral:lncRNA from 1 species
AAAGAUGAGUGGAAUAAGUUAACUAGAGACACCACAAAGAAGGCUAUGGAAGAGCUUGUUUCUUCCCCAGAUUUUAGCAAAUGGGCCGUUGCUCACGCAGAUAGGAUUACUCUAGCUCCAAAGAAAGAAACAACCGCUAGGCAGAGAAGGUGGUACCAACGGCUAUGACCAUAAAUGUAAAAUUCUAGUGAGUGGAGAUCUUAGGUGUCCCAGACUUGUUGUAAAAUGCUACACAUUUUCAACUACUAGCUCCAAAGAAAGAAACAACCGAUAGGCAGAGAAGGUGGUACCAACGGCUAUGACCAUAAAUGUAAAAUUCUAGUGAGUGGAGAUCUUAGGUGUCCCAGACUUGUUGUAAAAUGCUACACAUUUUCAACUAAGGUAGUGAUUCCUUCUUGUAACGUAUGUAUUGUGGUGCCAGGGCGAAGACUAACUUCACUGCUUGAAAAGGGCUUUAAAGGUGCUUGUGAGGAUGCUAUAUUUAUUCGCCCACUUUCUUGCAUCAUGUCAACAGUUUUGACUUUGAUCAACGUAAUUGAGAUUUAACAAUUAUGUCCAAUUUUUUCUUAGGGAAGUCCAGAGAGAAGUUAUUAUUAAUACCCGAUGAUGGUUUUCUCUAUCUUAUAUUUUCCUUUUGGGGUUGGGGGCACAAUCAUGUGGUGUUAUUACAUUGCUUAUUAGAUAUUGUUUCUGUGUAACUAUAACAUUAUGUGAUAUUCUGCAACAAUAGCAAUUUCGCAGCUCAGUGCUUCUCCUUCC